AUUGAACGCUGGCGGCAGGCCUAACACAUGCAAGUCGAGCGGAUGAAGGGAGCUUGCUCCUGGAUUCAGCGGCGGACGGGUGAGUAAUGCCUAGGAAUCUGCCUGGUAGUGGGGGAUAACGUCCGGAAACGGGCGCUAAUACCGCAUACGUCCUGAGGGAGAAAGUGGGGGAUCUUCGGACCUCACGCUAUCAGAUGAGCCUAGGUCGGAUUAGCUAGUUGGUGGGGUAAAGGCCUACCAAGGCGACGAUCCGUAACUGGUCUGAGAGGAUGAUCAGUCACACUGGAACUGAGACACGGUCCAGACUCCUACGGGAGGCAGCAGUGGGGAAUAUUGGACAAUGGGCGAAAGCCUGAUCCAGCCAUUCCGCGUGUGUGAAGAAGGUCUUCGGAUUGUAAAGCACUUUAAGUUGGGAGGAAGGGCAGUAAGUUAAUACCUUGCUGUUUUGACGUUACCAACAGAAUAAGCACCGGCUAACUUCGUG
rnacentral:rRNA from 1 species